UGCAAGUCGAGCGGAAACGACAACAUUGAAUCUUCGGAGGAUUUGUUGGGCGUCGAGCGGCGGACGGGUGAGUAAUGCCUAGGAAAUUGCCUUGAUGUGGGGGAUAACCAUUGGAAACGAUGGCUAAUACCGCAUAAUGCCUACGGGCCAAAGAGGGGGAUCUUCGGACCUCUCGCGUCAAGAUAUGCCUAGGUGGGAUUAGCUAGUUGGUGAGGUAAUGGCUCACCAAGGCGACGAUCCCUAGCUGGUCUGAGAGGAUGAUCAGCCACACUGGAACUGAGACACGGUCCAGACUCCUACGGGAGGCAGCAGUGGGGAAUAUUGCACAAUGGGCGAAAGCCUGAUGCAGCCAUGCCGCGUGUAUGAAGAAGGCCUUCGGGUUGUAAAGUACUUUCAGUUGUGAGGAAGGGUGUGUAGUUAAUAGCUGCGCAUCUUGACGUUAGCAACAGAAGAAGCACCGGCUAACUCCGUGCCAGCAGCCGCGGUAAUACGGAGGGUGCGAGCGUUAAUCGGAAUUACUGGGCGUAAAGCGCAUGCAGGUGGUUCAUUAAGUCAGAUGUGAAAGCCCGGGGCUCAACCUCGGAACUGCAUUUGAAACUGGUGAACUAGAGUGCUGUAGAGGGGGGUAGAAUUUCAGGUGUAGCGGUGAAAUGCGUAGAGAUCUGAAGGAAUACCAGUGGCGAAGGCGGCCCCCUGGACAGACACUGACACUCAGAUGCGUGCAAGUCGAUGCAAGUCGAUGCAAGUCGAUGCAAGUCGAUGCAAGUCGA
rnacentral:rRNA from 1 species